AAAUGAUGACGAUGAUUAUGAUUAUGAUGAUGAGGACAAUGAUGAUGAAAUGAUUUAUUUCAUCAUUGUCAUCAUCAUCAUCAUCGUUGUCAUUAAUU
rnacentral:pre_miRNA from 1 species